UACGUAGGCAGCAAGCGUUGUUCGGAGUUACUGGGCGUAAAGGGUGUGUAGGCGGUUCUUUAAGUUUGGUGUGAAAUCUCCCGGCUCAACUGGGAGGGUGCGCCGAAUACUGAGGGACUAGAGUACGGGAGAGGAAAGUGGAAUUCCUGGUGUAGCGGUGAAAUGCGUAGAUAUCAGGAAGAACACCUAUGGCGAAGGCAGCUCUCUGGGACGGUACUGACGCUGAGACGCGAAAGCGUGGGGAGCGAACAGG
rnacentral:rRNA from 1 species